rnacentral:rRNA from 1 species
AGCAGCCGCGGUAAUUCCAGCUCCAAUAGCGUAUAUUAAAGUUGUUGCAGUUAAAAAGCUCGUAGUUGAAUUUCGGGAUCAAUACGUCGGUCGUGCUUAGGUACGUACUGGCGUAAUUGAUUUCUCCCUUCUGACGAACCAUGAUGUCAUUAACUUGGUGUCAUGGGAAAUCAGGACUGUUACUUUGAAAAAAUUAGAGUGUUUAAAGCAGGCUCACGCUUGAAUACAUUAGCAUGGAAUAAUGAAAUAGGACGUUCGAUCCUAUUUUGUUGGUUUUUAGGAUCAACGUAAUGAUUAAUAGGGAUAGUUGGGGGCAUUAGUAUUCAAUUGUCAGAGGUGAAAUUCUUGGAUUUAUUGAAGACUAACUACUGCGAAAGCAUUUGCCAAGGAUGUUUUCAUUAAUCAAGAACGAAAGUUAAGGGAUCGAAGACGAUCAGAUACCGUCGUAGUCUUAACCAUAAACUAUGCCGACUAGGGAUCGGAUGAUGUUAAUUUUUUAAUGACUCAUUCGGCGCCUUACG